CUACUUCAGCAGCACAUGUGUUUAAAUUGGCAUGACUCAGAGAAGAGUAGCAGGAUCCCUGUGCAAAGACGGCAUGCACAUCCUGUGAAGCCUCCUAUAGUUUU
ensembl:snRNA U6 U6 spliceosomal RNA